GCUAUACUUGCUUUGGCAGUACUAAAAAUUGGAACAGUACAGAGAAGACUAGCAUGGCCCCCACAAAACGAUAGCAUGCACAUUCAUGAAGCAUUCCAUACUUUU
ensembl:snRNA U6 U6 spliceosomal RNA